GUGCUUGCUUCAGUGGCACAUAGAUACAGAGACCAGCAUGGCCCCUGUGCCCAAGGGCGACACACAAAUUCGUGAAGCACUCCAUAUUUCU
rnacentral:snRNA from 1 species